AACUCGCAGCUCUAUGCUGCGUAAUCUGGGAAAAACGCAUACUUUAAUCAGUACAUGUUCUGCUAGAAUUGGCAAAUCAACAAAGUAUUUUGUCUUAAUAAAAAAUUUAAACUACAUGAAGUAAUCCUCAAAUCGGUAUUUGUUGAGUAUUUAUCUAUAAAUUGCAGUGCUAAAUGUGAUUUGAAGUAGGCUGUAAUUAUUUUAUCCGCAAAUUUUUAAAGGAAAACGGGCAUUUCCUGAGAUUUUAAUUUACUUUCUAAACUACAACGGCUACACCUUGAAAUGAUUAACCCGGCUCACGUUGUGGAACAUUUAGUUAAACUGGUCCGAACCCGCUUUGGGGAUGACAAUCAGUCGCCUCCAACUGACGAAGAGAGAGAAUUAGCCAAUCACCUUUUUGAAAUUAUAAUUGAAUUAGACAAUGGGACAGCAGUACUGGAAACUGACUGGACUUUGACUCAUGAUACGGAUGGCCAUGACACAGUCGAAGAGGAAGAUAAUGAGGAUGAACCAAGCCAAAAUUCUCAAGAAUGGGAAACACUGUCCUUAGUUACAGAAAGUAGCACCGAAAAUUUUACACUAGAUUAUAUGAAAUCAGUAUUAGAGUGCUACGAUAAACACGGUUGGGGUCGCGUGCAAAAGAGGUUUAAAAGGUACUGAAUUUGUAAAUGUACACAGAAUAGUUAAGCUUUAAUAAUAAGUGGUAGCGACUAUGGUGUAAUGUUUAUACGUCCAAUGGUGGUAUAAAAUUUAAUACAGAGCUAUUAAUUUCGCAUGCUUGCUGUUUUGAAAUCA